UGUGUCAAGUUGACACAAAACUAGCUAAUACAGCAAGUGAGUAUAAAAAAUAAAAAUUCAUAUUUAGAUCACCGAGAUCUAAAUGCAUACUAUUUAGGUCUAAUACACUAUUGUGUUAAUAGAGAGAAACCAAUGGUUGGAGAUUGAAUAUGCAUAGAUAGCUUCCAGUCUAGAAACUGGGUUGUAUGUAUUACAAAUACAUGUUGAAAAAUAUGCAUAUGUGUAUAUAGAGAAGUAUUGUGUGCUAAGUGUGACCUGCCUAUGUCAAGUAUACAAGUAGAAGGAAUCAGUUAGGGCCUGGUAGACUCAUAAAGACCAAGUAAGGUUAGCUAACUCGGGUGAGAUCACAUAACCAGCCCCCAUUUGUUGAAAUUGUGCUAAAUGCUCGUAGAUACUCUUGAGAGAAGAAAGACUUUUGAGCUUUGAAUUGAGUACAGUGUGGUCUACAAUAAACACCUACUGUGGAAAAUAGCUUGUGAGUGGAUCAUAAAUAAAAGUUUGGGUGGAUGGCUAUACCAUUGUUCAAGCACAGUAAAAGCCUAAUAGAUGGGUUGCCAAGCUACGUAGGCUAUUUUAAGCAGGAAAAUAAAAGGUCAAUGUGUUUCCAGUUGGACUUAAAAGUGGAUUUAACUUUCGUUAGCCCAUUCCUGUCUAGGCUCCUGGAGAGGACAAUUCUUUGUUAUAUGGAACAUUGCUCAUUUAGAUGUGUGUGUUAUACAGUAUUCUUUGGGUUUCAAGUGGCAUGGCAAUUUUAAUUAAAGUAGAAUUUUUAACCAUGACUGACUAGGCUCCAGUUAAGCAAGGCUGGCAUCUGAGCCACAGGAGGUGACAUCAGGAAGCCUUGUCUUCCAUCAUUAAUGCUUUCCAUGGUUACUUGCAUUUUCAGUUUUCUUCAUUUAGAGGGGAAGAUGACUGAUCUAGCUCAAAAGACAGGAACAUGUCUAGCAACAUUUCCCAACGUUACUUUCUUGUUUCAUAUUUCUGGUCACCUUGAGCUCUGCUCGUCCUGCCUAUAUCAGGCAUAGGAAGAGCUUGAAGAGCCUGGGAAGGGCACAUUGCCCAUAGCAUAUGUUGUUGAAAAUGAAGAACCCAAGUUAAACCAGCCAUUGUGUUGCCUGAGGAACACUGGUGACUAGCCUGACCUUUCCUGCCUGGCUUUAGUCUUGUAGCCUGUGUUCAUACAAUAGUAAAUACUGAGCUGUUUAAAAUGAUCUUGUCCUAGCUUAAGUGGAUCUUACUUCAUGCACCUUUGGGUUUGUUUGACAUGGCUUUGAUGCCAUGUAGUAAAUAUAAAGACAUUUCUAAGAUUAUCUCUUAGGUGUCUUCUAAUUCUGGAUAGUAACACUGCUCAGGGGCUAGCCCAGAAAUAUCCAGAUAUAGCUUGUUUUAGAAAAGUUACAAAGGACAAGUAUCUAUGAACUUUGUAUGUUAUUAGGGAGAUGGAGAUUGGCAUGAAUUUUAACAGGAACAGUGCCUUGUAAUGAAGACCAUCGAGGUGAUCCUGGUAGAGAAAGAAGUCUGGUUUAGAGUGGGUGCUGCCUACCUGUGGUAGGGUUUAAUAACAGGUGGAGAUGUGGGAAGCAGGGAAAUGAUGAAGAACUGGGAGAGGGUGGCAAGAACAAAGGUACAGAAAGGGAGAUGGGGAGAGAGUGGGAGAAAAGCAUUAGAAUUGGAAACAUUCCAUAAAAUCAUGGACACCAGGAAGACUGACGUUGAGUCUCGAGGUGACAUUUUAGUAAGGACAGGGCGGGGUUGUGAUUGGAGACCUUUUGCUCACAGCCCUCAAGAUGAAGUUUGGGCCUGUUCUUGAGCCGUAGUGGUGGAAACGUGGCUUCCUAAGGGAUCUUUGAGAGUGACUGGGACUUGUGCAAGGAUGGAGUUGGGCAGAGUCAGGUAAAGGUUGGAAAAAUCAAAGGUAAAUCUAAGCAUUUAAGCAGGAGUGAAAGAGAGAAUUAUGGAACUAAGAGAAAAAUAAGCUUGGAAAAGUGGGAGGAAAAAAUGUGUUUGUUUGUUUUUUUUUUUUUUAAAAUAUGAAAUCCAGAUUUAAAAGUUACGUUGGGUUCAAUCAUUCAGUUUUGAGAUACUUAGAGAUUAAAUGUUUGUAUUUUGAAUAUGGGAUCUUUAAAAAUAAAGACUAUCUGGAAGACAUUAAAAAACGUGUACCUGCAUUUCUCCUUAUUUUCUCUGUAGUUCUCAUCUUGGGUGCUUUGAAGUCCUCCACCCCCACCAGUGACGGUCAUUGGUUAGUUCUCUGCUCCCAGAACACUGUUGUCUGCACCAUGCAGUUGAGCCUUUAAAUACAAACUUGAUUGUUUCAGGUUUCCUGCUUGAUGCGCUAGGCUUGUAAUUUGAUGCAAUGGUCUUUAAUAAUGUCCCUGCCUCAGAAUACCCAUCUGUGAGUUCACUGCUCUCUCCUAAAUUGUCAGGCAGGGCUUGAACACUAAAAUGCUUUCUUUAUAGAUUUGCUAAUCUUGAGUAAAUCUGAUGAGUGUGGCCCCUUCCUCUGGGUGAGGUCUGAAAACUUAUCUAUUGAACAGCUAUAGCAUAGGCCUUAAAGUUGCUCUCCUUGGCCACGUUUAGGUUGUUAAUGCUAUGAAAUAGUUCUUUGUUAUUUUUAACAUUAGGCUUAGCUUUUCAAGUUUCUGUUUUAAUACUUUUCAAGGAGACCCAUGUUCACUCUGACAGGUGGUGACUUUUUAAGAGUCAGUUUUAAGUCCUAAUGUCUUUUCUCUAGGAAUUGGUAACAUGAGGGAACACUGCUGGCCAAGGCUUUGACACUCAAAUGUUAAUUGAAUCCAAAUGUCUUCAUUUCUCCCUGCUUUUGACAUUUUGAGGGUUUUGUUUUGGUUUCAUUUUUAUCAUUAACUAUUAAGAUUCUAAGCUGGGAAUAGUGGUACAUACAACUUUAAUCCAAGCAUUUGGAUGCGGUCAAGGCCACCCUCAUCUACUUAGUGAGUUCCAAGAUAGCCAGAGCUACAUAGUGAGACCUGUCUUGAAAACAAAC
rnacentral:lncRNA from 1 species